GGGGUUAUUCCUUCAGUGAAGGAAGUACCUUUGAAGGGUACUUUAUUUGGUAGUACCUUGAAAGGUACUUCCUUCAGUGAAGGAAGUAACUGC
rnacentral:pre_miRNA from 1 species